rnacentral:lncRNA from 1 species
GGUCGGUGCAAAAGGGAGUUUUGAUGAGGUCAGGGACCAGACACCAAGGACCCUCACGUCUCGCCCUCGACGCCGAAGACCGUGGCGUCUGGUGCGGGAAUCCGGGAAGGACUCCUCCUUAUGUUCCAAACCGACUUUGGGGAGGCCCUCUCCCCAAGUUACGACCCUAGGGAUCAACAUAUAAAUAGAGGAGCAGGGCUAGCCCCUAGAAAACAAGUUAUAGAGCAUCCUCUAGUUGAUCUAGUCCUGGUUCUAGUUGACUAAUUAGAGC